rnacentral:rRNA from 1 species
CCUACGGGAGACAGCAGUGAGGAAUAUUGGUCAAUGGUCGGGAGACUGAACCAGCCAAGCCGCGUGAGGGAUGAAGGUACAGAGUAUCGUAAACCUCUUUUGUCAGGGAACAAAGGCGGGGACGCGUCCCCGGAUGAGUGUACCUGAAGAAAAAGCAUCGGCUAACUCCGUGCCAGCAGCCGCGGUAAUACGGAGGAUGCGAGCGUUAGGCGGAGUUAUGGGGUUUAAGGGGUGCGCAGGCGGUCUGUUGAGUCAGCGGUAAAAGCGCGGGGCUCAACCCCGGACCGCCGUUGAAACUGGCAGUCUCGAGUUGGAGAGAAGUAUGCGGAAUGCGCGGUGUAGCGGUGAAAUGCAUAGAUAU